rnacentral:rRNA from 1 species
AUUGAACGCUGGCGGCAGGCCUAACACAUGCAAGUCGAGCGAGCGGCGGACGGGUGAGUAAUGUCUGGGAAACUGCCUGAUGGAGGGGGAUAACUACUGGAAACGGUAGCUAAUACCGCAUACCAUCAGAUGUGCCCAGAUGGGUUUGGCUAGUAGGUGGGGUAACGGCUCACCUAGGCGACGAGCCCUAGCUGGUCUGAGAGGAUGACCAGCCACACUGGAACUGAGACACGGUCCGGACUCCUACGGGAGGCGGCAGUGGGGAAUAUUGCACAGUGGGGGCAAGCCUGAUGCAGCCAUGCGGCGUGUGGGAAGAAGGCCUUCGGGUUGUAAAGCACUUUCAGCGGGGAGGCGUUACCCGCAGAAGAAGCACCGGCUAACUCCGUGCCAGCAGCCGCGGUAAUUC